CGCAAGCCUGAUCCAGCCAUGCCGCGUGUCUGAAGAAGGCCUUCGGGUUGUAAAGGACUUUUGUCAGGGAGCAAAACUUACUGGUUAAUACCUGGUGAGGUUGAGAGUACCUGAAGAAUAAGCACCGGCUAACUACGUGCCAGCAGCCGCGGUAAUACGUAGGGUGCAAGCGUUAAUCGGAAUUACUGGGCGUAAAGCGUGCGCAGGCGGACUUUUAAGCCAGAUGUGAAAGCCCCGAGCUUAACUUGGGAAUUGCGUUUGGAACUGGGAGUCUAGAGUCUGUCAGAGGGGGAUGGAAUUCCACGUGUAGCAGUGAAAUGCGUAGAGAUGUGGAGGAACACCGAUGGCGAAGGCAGUCCCCUGGGAUAAGACUGACGCUCAUGCACGAAAGCGUGGGGAGGC
rnacentral:rRNA from 1 species